CGCCUCGGGGAUCCGCCGGCGCCGCCAGGCCGAAACGGUCCCCGGGGCCCCUUUGGGUGAGAAAACAGUGCUUUUUUCUUCCCCCCCUCACCUUUUCCCCUCGCUCCUGUCGAAAGCAGGGCCAGAGUGAGGCGACGCGUCCCGAAACGGGGAGCUCUCCCAGGCGGAGAGGAGCGGGAGAGGUGGAGCCGAGCGGAUUGCCGAAGAGCUGAAGCCAUCUGCGCUCCCGGCUUCCUCCGAGAGCAGGGGGUUGUGGCGGUGCCGACAGCGGGAGUUCUCCUCGUUGAGAUUUCCUAGAAAGCCCCGGCGCCUGCCGCUCCGCCUGGGCUUCGCCUGCUCCGACCGGCCGCCUCCGAGAGCAAAGCCUUGGCCGCCCUAACGGGGGACCUGGUGGGCGCCCGCGCCGGCACCGCUGGGGCCCUCUUCGCGCGCUCCUCUCGAUUCCGAGGCAAAUAUCGCUUAAUCCGGCUUCACGUGUAACUGUGCGAACGGGGACGUUGGGCUGCCGUUGUUGGAAGAGGUUGUCAACGUUGCCGCCUUCUCCGUUCAGCUGAACGGAGCUCUUGAAACAAGGUAAUCGCGUGUUACCGCCCGUGGUACCGAACGAAAUAAAUCCGCUAGACAGGCUCUGCCA
rnacentral:lncRNA from 1 species